UGCCUAAGACAGGAGUAGAACCUGUGACGCAGGGUCAGAACAUGAAGCAAUACUGACCACUAUACUACCAGGUC